rnacentral:rRNA from 1 species
ACAGUGUCUGGUGGGUAGUUUGACUGGGGCGGUCUCCUCCUAAAGAGUAACGGAGGAGCACGAAGGUUGGCUAAUCCUGGUCGGACAUCAGGAGGUUAGUGCAAUGGCAUAAGCCAGCUUGACUGCGAGCGUGACGGCGCGAGCAGGUGCGAAAGCAGGUCAUAGUGAUCCGGUGGUUCUGAAUGGAAGGGCCAUCGCUCAACGGAUAAAAGGUACUCCGGGGAUAACAGGCUGAUACCGCCCAAGAGUUCAUAUCGACGGCGGUGUUUGGCACCUCGAUGUCGGCUCAUCACAUCCUGGGGCUGAAGUAGGUCCCAAGGGUAUGGCUGUUCGCCAUUUAAAGUGGUACGCGAGCUGGGUUUAGAACGUCGUGAGACAGUUCGGUCCCUAUCUGCCGUGGGCGCUGGAGAAUUGAGGGGGGCUGCUCCUAGUACGAGAGGACCGGAGUGGACGCAUCACUGGUGUUCGGGUUGUCAUGCCAAUGGCACUGCCCGGUAGCUAAAUGCGGAAGAGAUAAGUGCUGAAAGCAUCUAAGCACGAAACUUGCCCCGAGAUGAGUUCUCCCUGACUCCUUGAGAGUCCUGAAGGAACGUUGAAGACGACGACGUUGAUAGGCCGGGUGUGUAAGCGCAGCGAUGCGUUGAGCUAAUCGGUACUAAUGAACCGUGAGGCUUAACCUUACAACGCCGAAG